rnacentral:lncRNA from 1 species
AUCGAUUUGUUGAAUUUGUGAAAUUAGGGUUUUUAAUAGUCAAUUGGGGAUUCAAGUUCUUAAUGAUUUCAUUUCUAUUCAUUUCAAUACAUUAGUGAUAAAAUUGCAUAUUUACAUUUCAGUUGCAUGUUUAUUUCAUUAGAUUAGUGAAAUUUCGAAAUUAGGGUUUCCAAUUUUGAAAUUAGGGUUUUCUUUGCAAUUAGGGUUUCAAAUUGGGGAUUUUUUCCCAAAAUUAGGGUUUUUCAUACUUAAAUCAAAUUUUCAUUCAAUUAGAUUCGGUUAAGGUCACAUUAGUCUAAUUAGAGCUAAUUCAAUCCUCAUGGGAACGAUACUUGGACUCAUAGUCCAUUUUACUACUUGUUAACGAACC